rnacentral:rRNA from 1 species
UGAAUACGAGACGCUAAGGCGUCGAAGUAGUGUAUGUCAUACUUCCAAGAAAAGCUUGCACUGUCAUAGAUAAAAAACGCCUGUACCAUAACCGACACAGGUGGGUAGGUAGAGUAUACUAAGGGGCGCGAGAUAACUCUCUCUAAGGAACUCGGCAAAAUAACUCCGUAACUUCGGGAGAAGGAGUGCCUUAUUCGUAAGGUUGCAAUAACAAGAUCCAAGCAACUGUUUAUCAAAAACACAGGUCUCCGCUAAGUCGUAAGACGAUGUAUGGGGGCUGACGCCUGCCCAGUGCCAGAAGGUUAAAGAAGUUGGUUAGCAAUUGCGAAGCUGAUAACUGAAGCCCUGGUGAACGGCGGCCGUAACUAUAACGGUCCUAAGGUAGCGAAAUUCCUUGUCGGGUAAGUUCCGACCCGCACGAAAGGCGUAAUGAUUUGGAUACUGUCUCGGAGAGGGGCUCGGUGAAAUAGACUUGUCUGUGAAGAUGCGGACUACCUGCACCAGGACAGAAAGACCCUAUGAAGCUUUACUGUAACUUGAAAUUGAAAUUGGACUUUAUUCGCGCAGUAUAGGUGGGAGGCGUUGAUUAUAAUCUUGUGGGAUUAUUGGAGCCAUCAGUGAGAUACCACUCUUGUAAUGUUAGAUUUCUAACUUUGAAUCAUUAUCUGGUCAAAGAACAGUUUCAGGCGGGCAGUUUGACUGGGGCGGUCGCCCCCUAAACGGUAACGGAGGCGUACAAAGGUUUCCUCUGAACGGUUAGAAAUCGUAUCUAGAGUGUAAAGGCAUAAGGAAGCUUGACUGUGAGACCUACAAGUCGAGCAGGGACGAAAGUCGGUCUUAGUGAUCUGACGGUACUGAGUGGAAAGGCCGUCACUCAACGGAUAAAAGUUACUCUAGGAUAACAGGCUGAUCUCCCCCAAGAGUUCACAUCGACGGGGAGGUUUGGCACCUCGAUGUCGGCUCAUCGCAUCCUGGGGCGGUAGUACGUCCCAAGGGUUGGGCUGUUCGCCCAUGAAAGCGGUACGCGAGCUGGGUUCAGAACGUCGUGAGACAGUUCGGUCCAUAUCCGGUGUAGGCGUUAGAAUAUUGAGAGGAGCCUUCUUUAGUACGAGAGGACCGAGAAGGACAUACCUCUGGUGUACCAGUUAUCGUGCCAACGGUAAACGCUGGGUAGCUAUGUAUGGAGUGGAUAACCGCUGAAAGCAUCUAAGUGGGAAGCCCACCUCAAGAUAAGUAUUCUC